rnacentral:rRNA from 1 species
UCGCUCUUCAACGAGGAAUCCCUAGUAAGCGUAAGUCAUCAGCUUGCGUUGAUUACGUCCCUGCCCUUUGUACACACCGCCCGUCGCUACUACCGAUUGAAUGGCUUAGUGAGGUCUUCGGAUCGGCGGUUGAUGAGUAGCAAUAUUCGCCGGUUGCUGAGAAGUUGAUCAAACUUGGUCAUUUAGAGGAAGUAAAAGUCGUAACAAGGUUUCCGUAGGUGAACCUGCGGAAGGAUCAUUAUAAAAUUUUCGUAUAUUUUAUUUUUAAAUAUAUAAAAUUACACAAAAAUGUAUUCAAAACCCACACUCUUGUAACCAUUUAUAAAAAAAACAUUAUAUCUCGCAUAUAAUAUUAAUUAAAAACAACUUUCAACAACGGAUCUCUUGGCUCUCGCAUCGAUGAAGAACGCAGCGAAUUGCGAUAAGUAAUGUGAAUUGCAGAUUACGUGAAUCAUCGAAUUUUUGAACGCAUAUUGCACUCUCUGGUAAUCCGGGGAGUAUGCCUGUUUGAGGGUCGGUAAAAAAUAAAACAUUAUCAUGUGAUCCUUAUGGGAUUUUCAUGGAAUUGGAUUUUUCAAAGGUUCCCUUUGAUGGUCUCAAAUUUAUGUUAUGGCUAAUUUAUAUAGAUUGAACUAAAAAGAGCAAUUAUUUAUAAUAUCUCGAAUUUUAGUGACGUUUAUAGGCCAAAUAUGAUUUUUUGGUGUUAAAUAAAAUACCAAAAGUUAUAAAUAAUUUUUAAUUAAGACCUCAAAUCAGGUAAGAGUACCCGCUGAACUUAAGCAUAUCAAUAAGCGGAGGAAAAGAAACUAACAAGGAUUCCCCUAGUAACGGCGAGUGAAGAGGGAAGAGCUCAAAUUUUAAAUCUACCAUGUUGUACAUGGUCGAAUUGUAAUUUGAAGAAGCGUUUUCUUGUUCUUACGAUCGGUAGAAGUUCUCUUGGAACAGGACAUCAUAGAGGGUGAUAAUCCCGUCUGUUACUGAUUGUGAGUUCGUUAUAUGAUACGCUUUCAAAGAGUCGAGUUGUUUGGGAUUGCAGCUCCAAAUGGGUGGUAAACAUCACCUAAGGCUAAAUAUUUGCGAGAGACCGAUAGCGAACAAGUACCGUGAGGGAAAGAUGAAAAGAACUUUGAAAAGAGAGUUAAAAAGUAUGUGAAAUUGUUGAAAGGGAAACGAUUGAAGUCAGUCGUGCAGUCAUCAAUUCAGCGGUUAACAUUUAUGUUUUCCGUGUAAUUUGGUGUCUGUUGGUUAGCAUCAAUUUUGAUUGUUAUAAAAAGGUUAAGGGGAUGUGGCUCCUUCGGGAGUGUUAUAACCCUUAGCGUAAUGUGACGAUUAGGAUUGAGGUUUGCAACGAAUACCUUUUAGGGCAGUUUCACCUGGCCUCUCGUAGGAUUUCGGGUGGUGAUAGCAUGCUAUCACUAUUCGAACUCUCUACGAAAAGGUUGGAGUGUAAAACUAAUUCGUUAAGGAUGCUGACGUAAUGGCUUUAAACGACCCGUCUUGAAACACGGACCAAGGAGUCUAACAUAUGUGCGAGUGUUU